GACGAACGCUGGCGGCGUGCUUAACACAUGCAAGUCGAACGGAAAGGCCCUGCUUUUGUGGGGUGCUCGAGUGGCGAACGGGUGAGUAACACGUGAGUAACCUGCCCUUGACUUUGGGAUAACUUCAGGCAACUGGGGCUAAUACCGGAUAGGAGCUCCUGCUGCAUGGUGGGGGUUGGAAAGUUUCGGCGGUUGGGGAUGGACUCGCGGCUUAUCAGCUGGUUGGUGGGGUAGUGGCUUACCAAGGCUUUGACGGGUAGCCGGCCUGAGAGGGUGACCGGCCACACUGGGACUGAGAUACGGCCCAGACUCCUACGGGAGGCAGCAGUGGGGAAUAUUGCACAAUGGGCGGAAGCCUGAUGCAGCAACGCCGCGUGCGGGAUGACGGCCUUCGGGUUGUAAACCGCUUUCGCCUGUGACGAAGCGUGAGUGACGGUAAUGGGUAAAGAAGCACCGGCUAACUACGUG
rnacentral:rRNA from 1 species